UACAGAGGGUGCAAGCGUUGUUCGGAAUUAUUGGGCGUAAAGGGCGCGUAGGCGGUGCUGUAAGUCUGUAGUGAAAUCUCUGGGCUCAACUCAGAGUCUGCUAUAGAAACUGCAGUGCUGGAGUGUGGGAGAGGUGAGUGGAAUUCCCGGUGUAGCGGUGAAAUGCGUAGAUAUCGGGAGGAGCACCUGUGGCGAAAGCGGCUCACUGGACCACAACUGACGCUGAGGCGCGAAAGCUAGGGGAGCAAACAGG
rnacentral:rRNA from 1 species